rnacentral:pre_miRNA from 1 species
AUUCUACUCCCUCUGUUGCACAAUACAUGCCUUCUAUUUGUCAAAAUAUAUAUGUAUCUAGACAUGUUUUAGUAUAUAGGUACAUCCAUUUUUGGACAAAUGGAAGUCAAGUAUUUUGGAACGGUGGGAGUACACA